UGCAGUGAGGAGAAGGCAGCGUCAAAGCUGUUCCCCCUUGUCCUGUCACCAUCAGACCAUGGAAAGUCGGUCAGCACACGCACUAGAAACACCGGCUGUGCUGUUGACCCGCAGACCUUUACUAGACUCUCUGCUGCGACGCCCCAGCACGGGCGCCGUGCAAAAGGCCUGAUGGAGGCCAUGCUUGCUCCCUGCUGAUGCAAGCACCCUGCUGAUGCAAGCUCCCUGCUGAUGGCAGCACCGGGCCCCUCGCCGCCCUCCCGUGUGGGUGCCGCGCCCUCAGCCCCGUGAGGUGGUGUCCGUGAUGUCACAGUGGCGUCAAGGAGUGGCCAUUGUGACGCGCGGGGCCGGGAGCAGAGCAAAGGCUGCGGGGCUGGGGCCGUGCUCAGUGCGGCCUGGCGAGGCGUGGAGAGAGCAGCGACUCUCUUGUUUCUCGUCGUCGAUGCCAAUCAUGUCCAAAGGGACGGAGGAGGCCCCCAACUCUGGGGAGCCAGUGUGCAUGCUGUGCCGCCGGGCACAGGUCAACCCGGACAUCUGCGGGCAGACAUUUGCCAACGGUGGGCUCUGUGCCCACCAGUUCUGCUUGGUGAGUUCCCCCAAGGGCUAGGGCUCCUGCCAGGUGUGCUCCCUUCCUUCCUAUCCGGCCUCACGAGAUCCUGCCCUUUUCUCUCCUACAGUUCUUUGCCAAUGGCCUUUUGGAAUGGAGAAGCCCAAUGGGGGGUAUUUUUGGCUUCUCCAUUGAUGCCAUCCAGCGCACAAUCCAGCUGGCAGACCAGAAGCACUGCUUUGUCUGUGGCGGGAGGGGAGCUUCCAUCAGCUGCGCGGAGACCGGCUGUGAGCGCAGCUUCCACCUGCCCUGCGCCGAGGACGGGGAAUGCGUCACUCAAUACUUUGGGCAGCACAGGUAAGGGCGUUCAGCAGCAGCAGCCAAGCUGCCGUUCCUCCCUCUUCCUCCCGGGGAGGACUGCCCGCAGCGACACCUCCCAGCAUCCUGCCAGAGCCAGAG
rnacentral:lncRNA from 1 species